rnacentral:rRNA from 1 species
CCUACGGGUGGCUGCAGUGGGGAAUAUUGCACAAUGGGGGAAACCCUGAUGCAGCAACGCCGCGUGAGCGAUGAAGGCCUUCGGGUCGUAAAGCUCUGUCCUAAGGGAAGAAUACUGACGGUACCGUAGGAGGAAGCCCCGGCUAACUACGUGCCAGCAGCCGCGGUAAUACGUAGGGGGCUAGCGUUAACCGGAAUUACUGUGCGUAAAGGGUGCGUAGGCGGCCCUUCAAGUCAGAGGUGAAAGGCUACGGCUCAACCGUAGUAAGCCUUUGAAACUGUAGGGCUUGAGUGCAGGAGAGGAGAGUUGAAUUCACCAUUUGGCGGUGAAAUGCGUAGAUAUUGGGAGGAACACCAGUUGCGAAGGCGGCUAUCUGGACAGUAACUGACGCUGAAGCACGAAAACGUGGGGAGCGAACAGGAUUAGAUACCCGGGUAGUC